CUCCCCAGUCUCUGUGUUUUGCUGAUGUGAAGAAAGGGGUGCAGGAAGAGGGAGGUCUACCACAGGGCUGUAGACAGCUGGGACCGGUCAUUGACGGGUAGAGAGGGACCCUUAUUUUAGAGGACACUGCAUUUCCUGUCUGUCACAAUAAUGCAUUAUGAGCUCCACUUCCUGUUUCUCAGGCCUGAGAGGAAGGAACAGGGCGCUUGUCACACGAUAUUCAUGGCUUCCUACCAGAAGGACAGUCGACUACACCUUGAACAUCGCAGCAGGAUGUGCAUGGUUAUUUUUAGUGUCGGAAAGGUAGGACACAGACAAACACAAUCUUCAGAAAUUCUAGCUGUGUUCGUUCAUUGGUUACUAGAAACCUGUUUCCAUGUUGUGGCUCUUCCCCGGAGGAACGUGGAGGUCUACUGUUUGCUCAUGGUGUCUACAUGUGCGUCAGACGCAAUUCCUUCCACAGUUAAAUAAACAACAAUACAAUUAAUAAACUCCUUCAUUCAGUUACUGGAUGCUUUAUCUGUACUAUAAACUUAAUACCCAACCUUCAAAACCGCUCAUCUUAAUUACAUGGGAAUUGAUUAUAUAUUCAACAGGAACAAUCUCACCAUUCUAUCUAUACUUGGGGGACUAUUAUUGGUAUACAAUAUUUCCAUAAGAACACAUCCACUACAGACUAGAGGUUGACGAUUAAAUCGGAAUGGCUGAUUAAUUAGGGCCGAUUUCAAGUUUUCAUAAUCGGAAAUCUGUAUUUUUGGAUGCCGAUUUGCCGUUUUUUUCCCCAUUUUCUUUCCUCCACACCUUUUUAUUUAACUAGGCAGGUCAGUUAAUAACACAUUCUUAUUUUCCAUGAUGGCCUAGGAACGGUGGGUUAACUGUCUUGUUCAGGGGCAGAACGACAGAUUUUUACCUUGUCAGCUCAGGGAUUCAAUCUUGCAAGUUUACGGUUAACUAGUCCAAUGCUCGAACCACCUGCCUCACGAGGAGCCUGCCUGUUACGCGAAUGCAGUAAGAAGCCUAGAGUUACACGAUUAGCUCCCAUUGUGCAGCACUGGUCAUAUUCAACAGAGGAAUGAAUAGUUAAUGUGAGAACAGCCAAGCUUCACAGAUGGCCACUCAGGGAGGCAGCAGGCUGGAGACUAAGCUGUCUGGGGCCUUUGGCGGACUCUCUCUCUCCACCAGAAGCCCGUGCCAUAUUGUGACCUUCAGCCAGAGCAGACUGAAUCAUCGACAGUGGGAACAGAUUGAGUGAGCAGAUGAGCCGUAUGUAGCCGGGCAGAGGGCAGGCCUGCGGAAUAGUACUCAAAUACCCCUGUGCCAAUCUGUACAACUGGCAUCAAAUGGACUGUUUCGCACCCAGGCCUUUAACCCCCUAAGGUUGAUGUCUGCGCCCCCAUGAAAAUCUAAUUAGUAUAAUACAAAAAAAUCACAAUAAAAAUCUGUCAGUUUAAGCUAGAGAUAUGUUUUGUUGCGUUGGACGUGUCUCAAUCCACCAUAUCCGCCUAUGUCGCACUUCCGCAUCUCCAGUGAAAGAUAACAGAUCUAGUGGUGUUUGUCAGUCCAUGAGACAUCACUACAAAUCUGUCUUCUCACAAAACCGUCUAUAGCAUCUGAACGCUUUGACCUACAAACAUGGUGUUCUCCGUUUUGCUCCACAAGUGUCAGGAGCCUCGUCUGAAGUCGGUAUAGCUGAUCUGCCAACUUCUGUCUGUAGCGUCCGAACCGUUUGGGCUACACACUAAAAUGACCCCUCUCUGCAAAGGUGAGACUCUCACAAACAUUUGCUCUAGGACGCCCACAGGCCUCACAAGACUCAACUGAAACACCUGUCCCCCGGGACCAGUUGAAAAUAUGAAUGGAAGUACAGUACCAGUCAAAAGUUUGGACCUACCUACUCAUUCUAGGGUUUUUCUUUAUUUUUACUAUUUUUUUUUUUUUGCCCACCCCUGGCAUAUAUGAAGACUGUUUAAUGCCAAAAAAUAUGGGUUUCUUUCAUAUAUAGGAGAGACACUUCAGAAUAUACUUCUAUUUUAUUUGUUUUUGGGACUGUUGUUCAAUGUAGUGAAUCUGUUAUUCAAUGUGUUUGUAUGGGCUAAUAGCAGUAAGACCCCAAAAAAUGUUUCAUCAAUGUGUUUUUUUGAUACUCCAAGGGGUCUUAAAAUUCUAAAUGAAAUCGCUAAAUGAUCCUUGGUAUGACAAUGGCCAUGUUCUGUUAUAAUCUCCACCCGGCAUAGCCAGAAGAGGACUGGCCACCCCUCAUAGGCUGGUUCCUCUCUAGGUUUUGGCCUUUCUAGGGAGUUUUUCCUAGCCACCGUGCUUCUACACCUGAAUUGUUUUAGGCUUGGUUUCUGUACAUCACUUUGACAUCAGCUGAUGUAAGACAGGCUUUAUAAAUACAUUUGAUUGAUUGGUUAUGACCUUCUUAAAAUUCCAUAUAGCUUAGUAACCCCCCAACCCAAUUGAACAAUUAUGGGAGAUUCUGGAGCAGUGCUUGAGACAGCGUUCUCUACCACCAUCAACAAAACAACAAAUGAUGGAAUUUCUCGUGGAAGAAUGGUGUUGCUUGCAUCCCUCCAAUAGAGUUCCAGACACUUGUAGAUUCUAUACCAAGACGCAUGGAAGCUGUUCUGAUGGCUUGUGGUGAC
ensembl:lncRNA